rnacentral:tRNA from 1 species
CUGAGGCUGGCUUAGCCAGUAAAGAAUUUGCCUGUAAUGCAGAAGACCCAGGUUUGAUCCCUGGGUCAGG